UACGUAGGGGACGAGCGUUGUCCGGAUUAUUGGGCGUAAAGAGCGUGUAGGCGGCCAGGUAGGUCUGCUGUGAAAACUCGAGGCUCAACCUCGAGACGUCGGCGGAAACCAUCUGGCUAGAGUCCGGAAGAGGAGAGUGGAAUUCCUGGUGUAGCGGUGAAAGUGCGCAGAUAUCAGGAAGAACACCCGUGGCGAAGGCGGCUCUCUGGGACGGUACUGACGCUGAGACGCGAAAGCGUGGGGAGCGAACAGG
rnacentral:rRNA from 1 species